GACGAACGCUGGCGGCGUGCUUAACACAUGCAAGUCGAACGCUGAAGCUCAGCUUUUGUUGGGUGGAUGAGUGGCGAACGGGUGAGUAACACGUGAGUAACCUGCCCCCUUCUUUGGGAUAACGCCCGGAAACGGGUGCUAAUACUGGAUAUUCACUGGUCUUCGCAUGGGGGCUGGUGGAAAGGGUUUUUCUGGUGGGGGAUGGGCUCGCGGCCUAUCAGCUUGUUGGUGGGGUGAUGGCCUACCAAGGCUUUGACGGGUAGCCGGCCUGAGAGGGUGACCGGUCACAUUGGGACGGAGAUACGGCCCAGACUCCUACGGGGGGCAGCAGUGGGGAAUAUUGCACAAUGGGCGCAAGCCUGAUGCAGCGACGCCGCGUGAGGGAUGGAGGCCUUCGGGUUGUGAACCUCUUUCGCACAUGGUCAAGCCGCAACAAUGGUUGUGGUGAGGGUAGUGGGUAAAGAAGCGCCGGCUAACUACGUG
rnacentral:rRNA from 1 species